GCUCAGGUGGCUUAAAUGAUUUGAUCGUCUGCCUCGGAUGCGGGAGGUUGCGGGUUCGAAUCCCGGUUGAGUU